UUACGGCGAUAUCACGUUGAAACACCAGUUCCUGUACCAUCACAGAAGUUAAGUAACGUAGAGCUUGGUUAGUAUCUAGAUGGGUCACCGCUUGAGAAUAUCAGCUGCUGUAAG